AUGCUCUUGCUUAUUGACUCUGGCAGCACACACACGUUUGUAAAUAAGAGCUUUGCAGAGCGUGCUGGUUGUACUAUUCAGUCAGUCCCAACAGUUUCAGUUAAGGUAGCAAAUGGACAAAUUUUGUCAUCUGAUGCUCAAGUACAAGGGUUACAGUGGUGGACACAAGGAUCUACAUUUGUCACUGACAUGAGGGUCCUGGAGCUUGGGGCCUAUGAUGCCAUAUUAGGCAUGGACUGGCUAGAGCAGUUCAGUCCUAUGAUCUGCCAUUGGCGUCAGAAAACAUUAACAUUCGAUUAUCUGGGAAAAUCUAUUACACUGCAGGGUGUCCUUUCUAAACCACAAGAGUCACUCCAGGAAAUGUCUGUGGAACAGCUAAAUAAGUGGAUUUCUGGGAAUGAGGUCUGGGCCAUGGCUAUGAUUGAUCCUAUACAGCAAACAACAAAAUCUGUACCCAACAUAGUGCAAUCAGAUAUGCAGUCUUUACUCGAGGAAUAUCAUGAUGUUUUUGAUCAGCCCACUACUUUGCCACCACAUCGUGCUUUGGAUCAUUCGAUCUCGUUAGAACCAGGAGCUCAUCCAACAAACAGUCGCCCCUACCGGUACUCUCCAUUGCAAAAGGACGAGAUCGAACGUCAGGUCUCGGAAAUGCUUGACAGAGGGGUGAUUCAGACAAGCAUGAGUCCGUUCGCGUCUCCGGUGCUGUUAGUUAAAAAGAAGGACGGCACUUGGCGAUUUUGUGUUGAUUAUCGUCGCUUGAAUUCCAUAACUUUGAAGAACAAGUUUCCCCUACCGGUCGUUGAUGAGUUGCUGGACGAAUUGGCUGGCACUAAAUUUUUCUCCAAGUUAGAUUUGCGCGCAGGAUACCAUCAAAUUCGCAUGAGGCCAGAGGAUGAAGAAAAGACAGCCUUUAAAACGCAUCACGGCCACUUUCAAUUCCGAGUGAUGCCAUUUGGAUUAACGAAUGCGCCAGCCACAUUUCAGUGCAUUAUGAAUCUCAUCUUUGCUAAAUACCUCCGCAAGUUUGUGAUAGUCUUCCUGGACGAUAUCUUGGUCUACAGUUCAUCUUGGGCAGAGCAUUUAGAGCAUCUGCGUCUGGUAUUCGAAACACUUCGUCAGGCUCAAUUCUUUGCUAAGUUAUCCAAGUGUUCUUUUGGGCAGAACAGUAUUCAGUAUCUUGGCCAUAUUAUCUCUGAUUCCGGUGUUGCAACCGAUCCCGAGAAAACAGUGGUGAUGGAACAGUGGCCAAUUCCUAAGACAGCAACUGAACUACGAGGAUUCCUUGGCCUAACAGGUUAUUACCGUAAAUUUGUUAAACAUUAUAGUCUGAUUGCUAAACCACUGUCCCAACUUCUGACCAAAAAGGGUUUCUACUGGAAUGAACAAGCAACACAAGCAUUUCUUGCUCUGAAACAAGCUAUGGCACAGGCACCUGUCCUGGCUUUGCCCAAUUUUUCCGAGCCCUUCACCGUGGAAACUGACGCUUGUGACACUGGAGUGGGGGCAGUGUUAAUGCAGAAAGGGCAUCCAAUUGCAUACAUGAGCAAGGCUCUUGGGAUACUUAACUGUAAAAUGUCCAUCUAUGAAAAAGAAUUCCUUGCUGUGAUUAUGGCUGUGGAUAAGUGGCGUCCUUAUUUACAGCGCGGCCCAUUUCAGAUAGUCACCGAUCAUAAGAGCCUCUGCAACCUAGAGGAUCAAAUUUUGACUACUGAUUUGCAACGCAAGGCAAUGGCCAAGCUCGUGGGUUUACAGUUUCAGAUUAAGUACAGAAAGGGCAGUGAUAAUGGUGCUGCUGAUUCCUUGUCUCGAGUGGGCCAUUUAUUGGAAGCACAUGCCAUUUCCACCUUGCAACCUGAUUGGGUCCAGGAGGUUUCCAAUUCCUAUGUCACUGACACAGUGGCCACUCAGUUAUUACAAGAGCUGGCAAUUCAAUCACCUAAUGCAAAAGGUUAUGCAUUGAAGAAAGGCCUCAUUACUUACAAAGGCAGAAUGUAUAUUGGUGCAAAUCUUGCCCUACAAACUAAGCUGAUAGCAGCUCACCAUGAUACUGCAGUGGGAGGCCAUUCAGGUAUUCAGGCCACAUACCACAGAUUGAAGCAGCUGUAUUAUUGGCCAGGUCUUAAGGUUGCUGUGGAAAAUUAUAUCCAUCAAUGUAUAGUGUGUCAACAAGCAAAACACACUAAUACAAAACCAGCUGGCCUUCUGCAACCCUUGCCACCCCCCGACAGUCCUUGGACUGAAUUGACAAUGGAUUUCAUGGAGGGUCUUCCUAAUUCAGAGGGUGCAAAUUCAAUAUUGGUGGUCGUUGACCGCUUAACAAAGUAUGCUCACUUUCUGCCCUUGCAUCAUCCUUUCACAGCAACUUCAGUGGCCAAAGUUUUCCUGGAUAAUGUGGUGAAACUACAUGGUAUUCCCAAAACCAUUAUCUCUGAUCGUGAUAAGAUCUUCACUAGUAAGUUUUGGAGAAACCUCCUGCAAUCCAUGGGUAUUGAGCUCCACUACAGCACAGCUUACCAUCCGCAAACAGAUGGUCAGAGCGAACGAGUAAAUCAAUGUUUGGAGCAGUAUCUUCGUUGUGCUGUACAAGACAAUCCUCGUCAUUGGCGUCGUUGGCUAUCCAUGGCAGAGUUCUGGUACAAUUCCAGUUUUCAUACUGCUCUUCAAUGCUCACCAUUCCAAGCUUUGUAUCACAUCGCCCCAAAUUUUGGAGGAAUGCCUAACCUUACCGUGUCCAAUGACUCGCCAGCUGCUAGUGUUGUUAUCGACUAUAAGGCACAGACUGAACUUUUGCGUGCUCAGCUGAUACGAGCCCAGCAACGCAUGAAGAGCUAUGCUGACAAGAACAGGACUGAACGUCAGUUUCAACCUGGUGAUCAAGUUUUGCUGAAACUCCAACCUUAUGCCCAACAAACGGUGGUCAAUCGUUCAUAUCCCAAAUUAUCCUACAAGUAUUUCGGUCCCUAUACUGUUCUGGAGCGCAUUGGUGCUGUCGCAUACAGACUACAAUUACCAGUUUCAGCUCAAGUACACCCAGUCUUUCAUGUGUCCCAAUUGAAGCCAUUUACUCCAAACUACACUCCUGUGUAUACGGAUAUUCCUGCCGUGCCGGAUUUGACAACAGUAGCACCGGUACCUGUUGCAAUCCUUGAUCGUCGGAUGGUACGCAAGGGCAAUGCAGCAGCACCUCAAGUUCUCAUUCAAUGGGCACAUGUUCCUCCAGAGUGUGCUACCUGGGAGGAUUACUACGUCGUCAAAAGCAGAUUUCCCGAAGCUCUUCUGUGGGACGAUGAGCAAGCUCAAGCGGGGGGCAAUGUCACGCCUUCCUCCAAUUCGGCGGACAGCGAGUCGCCGGCUCCAGACUCCCUGACGAGUGGACCGGCGAACGACGAUGACGUGGACGAUGAAUAG
rnacentral:rRNA from 1 species